rnacentral:tRNA from 1 species
GCCUGGGUGGCUCAGUCGGUUGAGCGUCUGACUUCGGCUCAGGUCAUGAUCUCACGGUCCGUGAGUUCGAGCCCCGCGUCGGGCU